UCAAAUGAUGAAUUGGCACUGGGCUCCGAUCAACACUUGAGCAGAUAUGCCAUUUUGUGACAGGCCUAGAAAACCUCGUCCACUGAUC
rfam:Mycosphaerella graminicola IPO323 chromosome 3, whole genome shotgun sequence.